rnacentral:lncRNA from 1 species
GGAUUUUUAUUUAUUUAUUUGCAUUAAAAUAAGAUCAGAUUCCUGGAUCCGUAAUACAUGCAUUUUUUGUUUAAAGUAAUACUUUUUUAAGUAUUUUGUAGCUAUUCACAUAUUUUAAAAUUUAUACUUUUUUUCUCAUGAAAUUAUUGAGACUAAUAGUUUCUUGCAAUAAUUGAAAAAUAUUUAAUAGACUUAUUAUAUGUUUUUCCAUCCAUGCCAACUAUAAAAUCA